UCUGUACAUAUAAAUAUAUGGAUGAGCGAUGGCCGAACGUCAUAGGAAAGAUGCAGUAGAUGGUGUAGAAUACACUAUAUACAUGUAGGAUAUGUGAACCUUAUUAAAGUGCGUUAUUUAAAGUGACUAGUGAUACGUGAUACGUUUAUUUAAGUGGCCAGAGAUUUGAGUCUGUCUGUUGGCAGCAGCCUCUCUAGUUGUACAUGCCCUUUAGGUUUUGUUUCUCUCUAUCUGAAAAACAUGGAUAUAAAAACAGUAGUAGGAGAUUGGUGGCACCUCAGCAUCCCAGAGUUGCCUCUUCACUGUUGACAUUGAGACUGGUAUUUUGCGGGUACUAUUUAAUGAAGCUGCCAGUUGAGGACUUGUGAGGCAUCUGUUUAUCAAACUAGACACUCUAAUGUACUUGUCCUCUUGCUCCGUUGUGCCCCGGGGCCUUCCACUCCUCUUUCUAUUCUGGUUAGGGCCAGUUUGCUCUGUUCUGUGAAGGGAGUAGUACACAGCGUUGUACGAGAUCUUCAGAUUCUUAGAAAUUUCACACAUGGGAAUAGCCUACAUUUCUCAGAACAAGAAUAGACUGACGAGUUUCAGAAGAAAGUCCUUUGUUUCUAGCCAUUUUGAGCCUGUAAUCAAACCCACAAAUGCUGAUGCUCCAGAUACUCAACUAGUCUAAAGAAGACCAGUUUUAUUGCUUCCUUAAUCAGAACAACAGUUUUCAGCUGUGCUAACAACAUUGCAAAGGGGUUUUCUAAUGAUCAAUUAGCCUUUUAAAAUGAUAAACUUGGAUUAGCUAACACAACGUGCCAUUGGAACACAGGAGUGAUGGUUGCUGAUAAUGGGCCUCUGUACGCCUAUGUAGAUAUUCCAUUAAACAUCAGCCAUUUACAGCUACAAUAGGCAUUUACAACAUUAACAACGUCUACACUGUAUUUCUGAUCAAUUUUAUGUUAUUUUAAUGGACAAAAAAUGUGCUUUUCUUUCAAAAACAAGGACAUUUCUAAGUGACCCCAAACUUUUGAACGCUAGUGUACAUAUUGCUAAAGCUUACGUUGGAGAUUUACAAUAUUAACAUAAUUAAUAAUAAUAAUCAAUAUUGUCAACAGGACAACAGUAACAACAAUAAUCAAGGGUAUAAGUAACCAUACAUUGAACAAUAAGCAUAGAGGACAUUUACAGGUUGGUUGGUCUGUCAGACACUGUCCCUCAUCUUAUGGCAGGCAGCAAUGUAGUGCGCUGCCAACCCACAGCUCUCUGCGUCCUCCUCCAACAGGACGGGUAGCCUAUCCUCAUCAGAAAGGUCUUCAAUGUAGUGCGCUGCCAACCCACAGCUCUCUGCGUCCUCCUCCAACAGGACGGGUAGCCUAUCCUCAUCAGAAAGGUCUUCAAUGUAGUGCGCUGCCAACCCACAGCUCUCUGCGUCCUCCUCCAACAGGAUGGGUAGCCUAUCCUCAUCAGAAAGGUCUUUGAAACCGGUUUCAAAUGGUUUUAUAUAUUUUAUAUUUUGUCAGGAAUGCAGCUCUGCCUCGGUGCUGUUGUGCAGUGUUUGCACAGCCUUUCCUCUACAGGGAGCCAGGUUCUGCUGUGGUGCAGUGGUUGCACAGCCUUUCCUCUACAGGGAGCCAGGUUCUGCUGUGGUGCAGUGGUUGCACAGCCUUUCCUCUACAGGGAGCCAGGUUCUGCUGUGGUGCAGUGGUUGCACAGCCUUUCCUCUACAGGGAGCCAGGUUCUGCUGUUGUGCAGUGGUUGCACAGCCUUUCCUCUACAGGGAGCCAGGUUCUGCUGUGGUGCAGUGGUUGCACAGCCUUUCCUCUACAGGGAGCCAGGUUCUGCUGUGGUGCAGUGGUUGCACAGCCUUUCCUCUACAGGGAGCCAGGUUCUGCUGUGGUGCAGUGGUUACACAGCCUUUCCUCUACAGGGAGCCAGGUUCUGCUGUGGUGCAGUGGUUACACAGCCUUUCCUCUACAGGGAGCCAGGUUCUGCUGUGGUGCAGUGGUUGCACAGCCUUUC